rnacentral:lncRNA from 1 species
GAGCACUUUAAAGGCAUUUGAAGAAAAAGACAUCUCACACAAAGGAGUUGCAUCCGCAGACACACGCCAAAGUUUAAUCUCUUUUUCAGAAGCGGUCUUUUCCGAAACCGGAGAUCACCGAUCUCUUUUACGGCUGGAAAGGCGUAGCCUCCAACGCAGUGGGCACCAGUAAUUAUCAUGCAAUAAAGAAACGAAGCAAAAGUGCAUUUUUAUUUCAAGUGUACACAUCACAAAAAAGGGUUUUGUCUUUCGUUGAACCUUAAGUAGGCGCAGUUUUGCACUUUUUGCACGGCACUCUCGUAAGCAGUUCGAAAAUAUCACGUGACGCUAACAGACGAUGCAAAUUCGCGCCAUUUUCUGCGACCAUGGCUACGGCGAGCGGUACCGACGAACAGCCUCCGGCACGCCAAAGAAAACCGCGGGUACAGUGGUCGGAGAGAGACACCUGGGCGUUAAUCAAGUUAUGGGAAGACAACCUGCCCUCGCUGCGUGCGCAGAAGCACAACGGAGGCGUUUACGAUGGCAUUGCACAAGCAUUGACGAGCAUGGGUGUACCUCGCACAAAGGCGCAAGUGCACAGCAAGAUAGAGAACCUGGGACAGACCUACAGGUAAGACAAAGCACAGCAGUAAGCUGUGAGCGCUAAAUUUACCUUGAAGCGGCUUCAGGCUGUGGUCGCAAGCUGCAAGCUCUCGUUUGUGGUGUCGCGACCUCAGCAUCGAACGUUGUUUCCGUAGUAGGCAGCGACGGAACCCUAAUCUAGCGGACGGAGCCGUAGUAACGAAGGUUUUAAGGCAGAGACCCUUCAUUUCAGCUAGCGUCGAAUUUUGCAGGGCUGAACUGCGCCCUGCACACACGAAAGUCGACGACGCGCUAAAGGCUGUUUCUGCAAUUCCUUUACAGUGCGAGUCGGUCUGAGUAAACGCAAAUUCGCCUUCACAUGCGGCGAAGAAUGACAACCCGCGCAGGUCGUCAAUAGCAUGAUUUCGUUCGUCACAAGAUAACGGGAACCUUAACUUAUGGACAGGCGCAUUUCACAUUAUAUUGUACGCCUUCUCACGGCAACAUAUAAUACGAAGCAGGAAGUCGUCUGCAUGUUUUCAUUUCUGCAGAUGUGACUACGGUUUGCAUUUUUCUCGGACCAUGCGCAAGCGUUGUUCUCAGACAAGAAAACAUGAGAAACUUUAAAUUUUUUCGAGUAAAAAGGGUUACCUUCGCUUCUCAGGCUUUCUGUACCAUCAAGUCGCGUUUGUAUCUAUCGGCAAACGUUUUGCUCUGUGUAUAUCUUUACAUUUUGAGUAUAUAAAAUUUUAGUUCUUUCGUUUUCUUAUCCAGGAGCUGCCUGAAACACAUGACAACAGGGUCAUCACCGCCGAGCUGGCCAUUCUUCUCCGAAGUCCAUAGGUUUCUAGGAUCCCUGCCUGUUCACGAUACAUCUUUAAUGGAAGAGGCUGGGUGCAGCGAGAGCACAACAAGCAGCACUGCCUCCGUCGAAGAACUGAUCUUCGACAUGCUUGAUUCCGGCUCUGCUUCUUGUGAAGACGUCGCCGAAGAUUGUUCACCUUCCGAGUCGCCAGUACAACAGGUUGAAUCCAGGAACCUCGCAAGUGGCAGUUCCGAAUGUGCCCGCAGGAAGAGAAGGCAACCGGCUGGCGACUUUCAAGAAAGGAUGCUUGAGGAGCAGCGACGGCAGAGAGAGCAGUUUGCUGAUGCGCACAAAAUGGAAAUGGAUCUCCGUAAAGAGGGGCUCAAGUUGCAAGAGAAACUUGUAGAUGCAAUGUUGAAGUUUUUUAGUAAAAACUGACAUGGUGUUCCACAA